AGGGAAUCUUCGGCAAUGGACGGAAGUCUGACCGAGCAACGUCGCGUGGGUGAAGAAGGUUUUCGGAUCGUAAAGCUCUGUUGUAAGAGAAGAACGAGUGUGAGAGUGGAAAGUUCACACUGUGACGGUAUCUUACCAGAAAGGGACGGCUAACUACGUGCCAGCAGCCGCGGUAAUACGUAGGUCCCGAGCGUUGUCCGGAUUUAUUGGGCGUAAAGCGAGCGCAGGCGGUUAGAUAAGUCUGAAGUUAAAGGCUGUGGCUUAACCAUAGUACGCUUUGGAAACUGUUUAACUUGAGUGCAAGAGGGGAGAGUGGAAUUCCAUGUGUAGCGGUGAAAUGCGUAGAUAUAUGGAGGAACACCGGUGGCGAAAGCGGCUCUCUGGCUUGUAACUGACGCUGAGGCUCGAAAGCGUGGGGAGCAAACAGGAUUAGAUACCCUGGUAGUCCACGCCGUAAACGAUGAGUGCUAGGUGUUAGACCCUUUCCGGGGUUUAGUGCCGCAGCUAACGCAUUAAGCACUCCGCCUGGGGAGUACGACCGCAAGGUUG
rnacentral:rRNA from 1 species